CCCAGACUCCUACGGGAGGCAGCAGUGGGGGAUAUUGCACAAUGGGGGGAACCCUGAUGCAGCGACGCCGCGUGGGUGAAGGAGCGUUUCGGCGCGUAAAGCCCUAUCGGCAGGGAAGAAGGAGGACGGUACCUGACUAAGAAGCCCCGGCUAGCUACGUGCCAGCAGCCGCGGUAAUACGUAGGGGGCAAGCGUUAUCCGGAUUUACUGGGUGUAAAGGGGGCGCAGACGGCAGCGCAAGCCAGGAGUGAAAGCCCGGGGCCCAACCCCGGGACUGCUCUUGGAACUGCGCGGCUGGAGUGCAGGAGGGGCAGGCGGAAUUCCUGGUGUAGCGGUGAAAUGCGUAGAUAUCAGGAGGAACACCGGUGGCGAAGGCGGCCUGCUGGACUGCGACUGACGUUGAGGCCCGAAAGCGUGGGGAGCAAACAGGAUUAGAUACCCCUGUA
rnacentral:rRNA from 1 species